rnacentral:tRNA from 1 species
GAGAGAGGCCCGUAGCAGCAGGGACUGCUAAUCUCUGCCCCCGCAGUUAAACUCUGCGGCUCACUCG